AACGAACGCUGGCGGCAUGCCUAACACAUGCAAGUCGAACGAGACCUUCGGGUCUAGUGGCGCACGGGUGCGUAACGCGUGGGAACCUGCCCUUAGGUUCGGAAUAACUCCCCGAAAGGGGUGCUAAUACCGGAUAAUGUCUUCGGACCAAAGAUUUAUCGCCGUUGGAUGGGCCCGCGUUGGAUUCGCUGGUUGGUAGGGUAAAAGCCUACCAAGGCGACGAUCCAUAGCUGGUCUGAGAGGAUGAGCAGCCACGCUGGAACUGAGACACGGCCCAGACUCCUACGGGAGGGAGCAGUGUGGAAUAUUGGACGAGGGGCGAAAUCCUGAUCCAGCAAUGCCGCGUGAGUGAGGAAGGCCUUAGGGUUGUAAAGCUCUUUUACCCGGGAUGAUAAUGACAGUACCGGGAGAAUAAGCUCCGGCUAACUCCGUG
rnacentral:rRNA from 1 species